GGGGUUGUAGCUCAGUGGCAGAGCGCUUGCCUGUCACGCGUGAGACCCUGGUUUCGAUCCCCAGCACCA
rnacentral:tRNA from 1 species